rnacentral:rRNA from 1 species
UACAGAGGUCUCAAGCGUUGUUCGGAUUCAUUGGGCGUAAAGGGUGUGUAGGUGGCGCGCUAAGUCGGGUGUGAAAUUUCGGAGCUUAACUCCGAAACUGCAUUCGAUACUGGCGUGCUUGAGGACUGGAGAGGAGACUGGAAUUCAUGGUGUAGCAGUGAAAUGCGUAGAGAUCAUGAGGAAGACCAGUGGCGAAGGCGGCGUCCUGGCCUGCAACUGACGCUGUGGCGCGAAAGCUAGGGGAGCGAACGGG